ensembl:miRNA gga-mir-7471 gga-mir-7471
GUCGGUGCCGUGCGGGGCCGUUGUGGCGCCUUCCGCGCGUCCCGAGCGGUGCUGUGGCGG